CUUCAGGAGCUAUCUGCUACAAACGGAAGGAAACAACGCAUCAGUGUUAACAUCAUGGCCAAAUGCAGGAAGCUCAAUCCGCCGGUGAGGUUUUCAUUAGUCAUCCAACGUACAUGAGUUAACUAGUUCUAGUGAUUCUUGCCAUCUACCGUUGGCCGUCAUAGUUGGGAGGCUGGUGCACAUGGCGGCGUGACCAGAGAGAGCUCGUUAUUUUCUCUUACUCAUGUGAUGAAGUAAGAAAAAAUGCACAAAAUGUUAGUAUAAUUGUAAAUAAUUUUAUUCCUGUUGUUUCCCAUCUUCAAAUUCACACGUGAAAUAAACUAAAAAAAUU
rnacentral:lncRNA from 1 species